rnacentral:piRNA from 1 species
UAAAUGCUGUCCGAGCAGGUGUCA